rnacentral:rRNA from 1 species
GACGAACGCUGGCGGCGUGCUUAACACAUGCAAGUCGAACGGAAAGGCCCUGCUUUUGUGGGGUGCUCGAGUGGCGAACGGGUAAGUAACACGUGAGUAACCUGCCCUUGAAUUUGGGAUAACUUCAGGAAACUGGGGCUAAUACCGGAUAGGAGAUCCUGCUGCAUGGUGGGGGUUGGAAAGUUUCGGCGGUUGGGGAUGGACUCGCGGCUUAUCAGCUUGCUGGUGGGGUAGUGGCUUACCAAGGCUUUGACGGGUAGCCGGCCUGGGAGGGUGACCGGCGACCAUAGUACUGCGAGACGGCGCAGACGCCUACGUGCGGCAGCAGUGGGGAAUAUUGCACAGCGGGCGGGAGCGUGAUGCAGCAGCGCCGCGAUCGGGAUGCCGGCCUUCUGGUUGUAAACCGCUUUCGCCGUUGACGAAGCGUGAGUGACGGUAACGGGUAAGGAAGCACCGGCUAACUACGUG